GACGUAGGGGGCCAGCGUUGCUCGGAAUUACUGGGUGUAAAGGGUUCGUAGGCGGUGCGGCAAGUUGGGAGUGAAAUCUCUGGGCUCAACCCAGAGGCUGCUUCCAAAACUGCUGUGCUUGAGUGUGGGAGAGGCGCGUGGAAUUGCAGGUGUAGCGGUGAAAUGCGUAGAUAUCUGCAGGAACACCCGUGGCGAAAGCGGCGUGCUGGACCUCUUCUGACGCUGAGGCGCGAAAGCCAGGGGAGCAAACGGG
rnacentral:rRNA from 1 species